rnacentral:rRNA from 1 species
GUAGUCUCGCAAGAUGCAUAUCAAUAAGCGGAGGAAAAGAAACUAACAAGGAUUCCCCUAGUAACGGCGAGUGAAGCGGGAAGAGCUCAAAUUCGAAAUCUUAAAGGGUUUCCCUUUACGAAUUGUAGUUUAAAGAAGUGUUUUCUGUUGAGGUUUUGGUAAAAGUUCUUUGGAAUAGGACAUCAUAGAGGGUGAGAAUCCCGUAUUUGACCUUUACUUUCAACUUUGUGAUACACUUUCAAAGAGUCGGAUUGUUUGGGAAUGCAGUCCAAAAUGGGUGGUAAAUUUCAUCUAAAGCUAAAUAUUGGCGAGAGACCGAUAGCGAACAAGUACCGUGAGGGAAAGAUGAAAAGAACUUUGAAAAGAGAGUUAAACAGUACGUGAAAUUGUCAAAAGGGAAGCGUUUGACACCAGUGUUGUUUUUCUGAAAAUCAAUUAAAGAACUGUUUAUGCUAAGCUGUUUAGACUUUAUCAGCUAUCUGUUUAGUUUUGAGCUUUUCUUUAAUGCACUUUUCAGUUAACAAGUCAACAUCAAUUUCUUUUGCUGUAAAAAAGCUUGAGGAAGGUGGCUUGAGAUUCGUCUUAAGUGUUUAUAGCCUCUUGCCUAUGCAGUCGGAGAGAUUGAGGUCUGCAGCGUAGAUCCUUCGGGGCUAAAUGCAUUUGUGCUAAGUUAUAGCAUUUUAUAGACAACUUGUUGACUAUGAUUUGUCUUGUAGCUUACUCGCUUAUGUUAUUUUACCUACGCUUAGGAUGUUGAUAUCGCGCUCUCACUG